AAACCAACCGGGAUUGCCUCAGUAACGGCGAGUGAAGCGGCAAAAGCUCAAAUUUGAAAUCUCCGUAAGGCGAGUUGUAAUUUGAAGAGGGUACUUUGGGGCGGCGCCUUGUCUAUGUUCCUUGGAACAGGACGUCACAGAGGGUGAGAAUCCCGUGCGAUGAGGAAGGCCGUUCCGUGUAAAGUUCUCUCGACGAGUCGAGUUGUUUGGGAAUGCAGCUCUAAGUGGGUGGUAAAUUCCAUCUAAAGCUAAAUAUUGGCGAGAGACCGAUAGCGAACAAGUACAGUGAUGGAAAGAUGAAAAGCACUUUGAAAAGAGAGUGAAAAAGUACGUGAAAUUGUUGAAAGGGAAGGGCUUGAGAUCAGACUUGGUGACUCGUCACUGGGCCAGCAUCGGUUCGGGCGGCAGGAUAAUGCUGCGGGAAAGUGGCUCGCCUUCGGGGGAGUGUUAUAGCCCGUGGAGAUACUGCCUGCGUGGACCGAGGACUGCGGUAACUAGGAUGCUGGCAUAAUGAUCUUAAGCCGCCCGUCUUGAACCACGGACC
rnacentral:rRNA from 1 species